rnacentral:tRNA from 1 species
CCCUGGUUAGGAGCUCGGUUGGUAGAGCGCUCCACUUGUUAUGGAGAGGUCCCGGGUUCGAUACCCGGACCAGGCG